ACGGUCCAGACUCCUACGGGAGGCAGCAGUGGGGAAUAUUGCACAAUGGGCGCAAGCCUGAUGCAGCCAUGCCGCGUGUGUGAAGAAGGCCUUCGGGUUGUAAAGCACUUUCAGUCGUGAGGAAGGUAGUGUAGUUAAUAGCUGCAUUAUUUGACGUUAGCGACAGAAGAAGCACCGGCUAACUCCGUGCCAGCAGCCGCGGUAAUACGGAGGGUGCGAGCGUUAAUCGGAAUUACUGGGCGUAAAGCGCAUGCAGGUGGUUUGUUAAGUCAGAU
rnacentral:rRNA from 1 species